UAGGGAAUCUUCCACAAUGGACGCAAGUCUGAUGGAGCAACGCCGCGUGAGUGAAGAAGGCUUUCGGGUCGUAAAACUCUGUUAUUGAAGAAGAACGUGUGUGACAGUAACUGGUCAUGCAGUGACGGUAUUCAAAUCAGAAAGUCACGGCUAACUACGUGCCAGCAGCCGCGGUAAUACGUAGGUGGCAAGCGUUGUCCGGAUUUAUUGGGCGUAAAAGCGAGUGCAGGCGGUCUUUUAAGUCUGAUGUGAAAGCCUUCGGCUUAACCGAAGAAGGGCAUCGGAAACUGGGAGACUUGAGUGCAGAAAGAGGAGAGUGGAACUCCAUGUGUAGCGGUGAAAUGCGUAGAUAUAUGGAAGAAACACCAGUGGCGAAGGCGGCUCUCUGGUCUGUAACUGACGCUGAGGCUCGAAAAGCGUGGGGU
rnacentral:rRNA from 1 species